rnacentral:rRNA from 1 species
CCCUUAGACGUUCUGGACCGCACGCGCGCUACACUGACGAAGGCAACGAGCUUUCCUUUACCGAAAGGUACGGGUAAUCUUUUGAAACUUCGUCGUGCUGGGGAUAGAUCCUUGCAAUUAUUGAUCUUAAACGAGGAAUUCCUAGUAAGCGCAAGUCAUCAACUUGCGUUGAUUACGUCCCUGCCCUUUGUACACACCGCCCGUCGCUACUACCGAUUGAAUGGUUUAGUGAGGCCUUCGGAUCCGCGACUCGUUUUGUGGAGAAGUUGGACAAACUCAGUCAUUUAGAGGAAGUAAAAGUCGUAACA